UACGUAGGCAGCAAGCGUUGUUCGGAAUUACUGGGCGUAAAGAGUGUGUAGGCGGUGCUCCAAGUUCGGUGUGAAAUCUCCUGGCUUAACUGGGAGGGUGCGCCGGAAACUGGGGUGCUCGAGCGUGGGAGAGGAAAGCGGAAUUCCUGGUGUAGCGGUGAAAUGCGUAGAUAUCAGGAGGAACACCUGUGGUGUAGACAGCUUUCUGGACCAUUGCUGACGCUGAGACACGAAAGCGUGGGUAGCAAACAGG
rnacentral:rRNA from 1 species